UUUUUGUUUUGCAUAAAUCAUCAAAGACAAUAACUUCCGAAGGAAUAAUUUUCCUUUUCCAAAGUCGAUGGCAAUUAAGAACUUCAAAUUUUUUUCUCUUUCCCUUUGCUUUCUUUCAUUUUUUCCCUAGCCUAUGCUAAAAAAGUUUCCCACCUUUAGCUGUAUUAUUAGACUUAUGCUUGAUUUUUUUUGUUUGUAAGCUAUUUGAAUUAUUUUAUUCAUUUGCCACCAGAUUCUCAUUAAUUGUUUUCUGUACCAUUUCAGAUAUGGAGCUUAAACCCAACAUUUGUCUACGUCAAUAUUGAUUUUGAAAUCACCAGCUGAAAGGGGUGGAUGCAAAUGUUGCGAUUUUCCAAUAAUGAAGACAGCGGCUGAGGAGAGGAAGUCAACCGUGAGUGAGGAAGCUCCGCAGAGAAGAAGCCAUUGAUAUGGAGGUAAAUGCUGUCCAAGAUGAUGCAUAAAGGCUAGCCAGAUGUUAUGAUUGACAAUUGCUUUGCCAAGAGAUCAUUUGAUGAAUGCAAAGACGGGCAAUAUUUUAAGUUAGAUUAGUUGAAAUCUUAA